UGGUUGAAGCCAAAUCCAACGCCUCAGAAGUUAACUUGCUAGUUGUCAUCAAUCUCUGUCGACAAUUCUGCUUAUCGAACUUCUCACAUUU
rfam:Eucalyptus grandis cultivar BRASTZ1 unplaced genomic scaffold scaffold_4, whole genome shotgun sequence.